rnacentral:rRNA from 1 species
AGGCCUAACACAUGCAAGUCGAGCGGAAACGAUGGAAGCUUGCUUCCAGGCGUCGAGCGGCGGACGGGUGAGUAAUGCAUGGGAAUCUGCCCGAUAGUGGGGGAUAACCUGGGGAAACCCAGGCUAAUACCGCAUACGUCCUACGGGAGAAAGCAGGGGAUCUUCGGACCUUGCGCUAUCGGAUGAGCCCAUGUCGGAUUAGCUUGUUGGUGAGGUAAUGGCUCACCAAGGCGACGAUCCGUAGCUGGUCUGAGAGGAUGAUCAGCCACAUCGGGACUGAGACACGGCCCGAACUCCUACGGGAGGCAGCAGUGGGGAAUAUUGGACAAUGGGCGAAAGCCUGAUCCAGCCAUGCCGCGUGUGUGAAGAAGGCCCUCGGGUUGUAAAGCACUUUCAGUGGGGAAGAAAGCCUUGGGAUUAAUACUCCCGAGGAAGGACAUCACCCACAGAAGAAGCACCGGCUAACUCCGUGCCAGCAGCCGCGGUAAUACGGAGGGUGCGAGCGUUAAUCGGAAUUACUGGGCGUAAAGCGCGCGUAGGCGGUCUGAUAAGCCGGUU